rnacentral:rRNA from 1 species
UGUUCCUACGGGGGGCAGCAGUCGGGAAUAUUGCGCAAUGGAGGAAACUCUGACGCAGUGACGCCGCGUGCAGGAAGAAGGUUUUCGGAUUGUAAACUGCUUUAGACAGGGAAGAAAGAAAUGACGGUACCUGUAGAAUAAGCUCCGGCUAACUACGUGCCAGCAGCCGCGGUAAUACGUAGGGAGCAAGCGUUAUCCGGAUUUACUGGGUGUAAAGGGAGCGUAGACGGCAGGGCAAGUCUGGAGUGAAAGCCCGGGGCCCAACCCCGGGACUGCUUUGGAAACUGCCAUGCUGGAGUGCUGGG